GGAGGAGGAGGGGCUCCCUGCGAGGUUCCACGCGGAUGGGGAGCCCAAGGCCGGGCUUAGGCGCCGGCGGAAGGGGGUUGGGAGACACUGGGUUCCCGAGGCCCGGGCCAGCGUCCUGAGGGGCAUUCAGGAUCCUUGGCAGGGCCCUCCUGUCCAAGAGGCCCCUGCAGACGGCAUGAAAGGGCCCGCCUCCGGCAGGGCCACCAAGCCCCUGGAGAGCAGGCCUCUGGGGGACACCCUUCGGGGCUUCUGCACGUCCGAGGACAGUGACAUCAACAUCACCAGCGGGGAAGAGGAUCACAAGGAGUCGCCUUUCCCAGGCUCCUGCAACCCCAAAGAGAAGGAGAACAGUGGCCGUGGCCCCCGGGCCCUCCCGGACAGCCGGGCGGCCCCACCAGAGGGCCUUUGCUGCUACAUCUGCGGGUCCCCGCUGUCCCCAGCCUCGCACCACCAGGUCCACGUGCAGAAGCAGGAGAAGCUGGCGCAGGCCCCGUUCUUCCCCUUCCUGUGGCUGCACAGCCCGCCCCCAGGGGCACAGCCCAUCAGCGAGGGCGGCAGCACCUUAGUGUGCACCAGCUGCUUCUCCUCCCUCACGCAGCAGUGGCAGAGCUUCGAGCUGGCCAACGUGCCAGUCCUGCAGCGACUCUACGUGGUGCCCCUGGACAGCCACGCCCCCGGCAUGGCCUCCAAGGGCAGGAGACUCCCCAGGGAAGAGGGCCUUCCGCCUGGGGCCCUGCGAGAGGCCUGCUACCUCUGCGGGGAGGACUGUACCCCGGAUGCCCGGGCGGUGCCCUCCAGGAUCCUCAACGGCAACGCCAGGAGCGCAAUGCAUUUUCCUUUCCUCAGCCUCCUGCCCUGCCCGCCCAAUGCCCAGGGCCCCAACAAGCGCUGCGAGGUCCGCAGCUGCCCCAAGUGCUUCAGCGUGCUGGAGGACGUCUGGGCCCUGUACCGGGCCUGCCAGAAGGAGGAGCUCAUCACCUCCGUGCAGGGCUUCCUGGGCAGGUACCACCAGGCCUUCUCCGCCUCCGACCCUGCCCUCUCUGAGCUGCCCGCAUCAGCCCAGGGCAGCCAUGUGUCCAUCUGCUACAUCUGUGGGGCUGAGCUGGGCCCCGGGAGGGAGUUCCAGCUCAACGUGAACCCCGCCAGCCGCUUGGGCGAGAAGGAGCCGUUCUUCCCCUUCCUCACCGUGUAUCCGCCGGCGCCUCGUGCCAUGCCUGUGGACUCCACUGGACUGGUGGCCACCUGUGUGCUCUGCUACCAUGACCUGCUGGCCCAGUGGCUGCAGCACGAGGCCCGCAGCACCCAUCACGCUGUCAGCGCCUGGUCCCGGCAGUACCACGUGGAGACAUUCGUGUGCUUCUUUUGCCAGCAGGAGAAGAAACGGUGUCUGGGGCUGAAGUCUGUGCGGGUGGCCCGGCUGCCCCUGUUCCUAUACACACUUCGAGCAAGCCACAGCCUGCUGGUGGAUGACGGACAGCAGCUGAUCAUCGGCGCUUGCAUGGAGUGUGGGACCCUGGUGUCUGCGGGCCAAGGGCUCACCUGCCAGGGACCCAUGAGCUGGAGCUCCCCGGUGGCAGCAGCAACGAAGAUGGGUCCUGGGACUGUGCUGCUCUCGUCACCGGCAGUCACAAGAACGCUGGCCUCUCUGCAGGACUCACGUCCGUCCUCCCAACGCUGGCCAGUUUGGCAGCUCCCUCCAGGAUCCAGGCCCUCCCUGGUCCGGGUUGUCUCGCUCUGUGUCACCUUGCAGCAAGCACCUUCAUCCACCUGCCCCGUCUCCUCAUUGGCCAAGGGCGCUAGAGGGGUGGUCCCCACCUGCACGUCGUCACAGACGUGCUGUGGGCCGGAACACUGACCUCGCGCUUCUUCCUCUCGUCUUCUCUCUGAAGUCGAAGUUCGGGAGCUCAGGAUCCAAAAACGACGACACUGGGACCUUCCAUUCGGAAGGCAUGCUUUGCCCACUCGGCCACUCGCAGUGGCGAACGGUUUUGAGCAGGGGUGUGAUGUGACCGGCAGACCCAUGUGUGGAGCCCGAGGUGGCUUCGGAGGCUGGUGGCUGGGAGAGCAGGGAGGGGCUGCUGCAGUGGUCUCAGCUCCAGUGGCGGGACGGCGUGGAUGGCCACUGUGGGACACAGAGGACAAGGGGGACAUGCAAGAGUCCUAGGCCGGAAGACGCGGGCACCAGCCCCUGCCUGACUGUGCUCUCUUCUCUUUCUGCCGUAAAUAAGAAUAACUGUGGACUGUCACCUCGCCUUCUGCCUUUGUCGCCUCCGUAAUCCCUCCCUCUGCGUGCUGAGGAUAAUUCUGCCUUUUCCUUCACCUGCUCACUGACACCUUGUCACCUCCCACCUUCAAAUAUGCUCAGAUCCCGUUUUUAUCACAUAACACACGGGUUUGUCCUUGGAACCCAUUUUUUGUCUUUCCACCAUGGGUCUUGGGUUUCCUUGGGACAGGCACCUCGUGGAACCCUGGAUGUUUUUCCCAUCUCCCACGUCAGGCGGGCCAUGCCAACCGCACCUUUAAUCGAGUAAUCACAGGGAGAAUGGCGAAUGGCUGUGGAGCCUCUUCCUGAGGGCUCGGGUCUCGGUGGCUGCCGGUACCCUCCAUUUCCUUGAAGAAAGGAGGAAGCUUUGCCCGGAGAGGCCAUGUGGUUCCCCCUACGUCACACAGCUGGUACGCGGUGGAGGCAGAGCCUGAACUCAGAGCCCUAUUCUCUCAAUCCCGACCUGUCUGCCCUGGGCAGGUGUUUCCAGGUGUGGGCUGAACCAGAUGAUGUGUUUCAGGGGGCCCGGCUGGCACAGCAUUCACUGACUGCGAAUCACCCAGCAGGAUGAUUCCUCUCGCCCCACAUUUAGUCAUACUGCAAGGGGACAUCUCGAGAGCUAGUAGGUCAGACAAACCUCAACAUUUUUUAUUGCAAUAAAAUGUAUGGAAAAUUAACCAUAUAAACUAUUUUGAAGUGUACAGUUACAGAGCCCCCAUCCCGGGGACUCUCCUCCCC
rnacentral:lncRNA from 1 species